GUGGGAAUGAGGUAAAGUGGUACGUUGUAUUGUGAGCUUUUAAUUGAAAACAAAAGGAUCCUUUGUCGUACAUUUUACAGGUGAUGAACUUUGCAAGACAGAGUUUCUGGUAGACAAAAGGUAGAAGGUAGACAAAACAGAGCAACUUACAUGAUCAACUGACUCGCGUCAAGUGGAACGAUCCAUUUUAAAGAUUAUGUGGAAUCUUUACAAUUUUGAAUGCUUCCAAUACACGACAUGGGAACUCAAAGCGUGGGGCAGGUGAGCUCGGUGCUGGGCUUGUCUUGUUGCACCUUGCUGGACAUGGAGAGCUUCCUUAGUGCUGGAUGUGA
rnacentral:lncRNA from 1 species